CGGGUGCUUACACAUGCAGUCGAACGAUGAAAGCAGGAGCUUGCUUUUGCUGGAUUAGUGGCGAACGGGUGAGUAACACGUGAGUAACCUGCCCUUGACUCUGGGAUAAGCGUUGGAAACGACGUCUAAUACCGGAUACGAGCUAGGACCGCAUGGUCACUAGCUGGAAAGAAUUUCGGUCAAGGAUGGACUCGCGGCCUAUCAGCUAGUUGGUGAGGUAACGGCCCACCAAGGCGACGACGGGUAGCCGGCCUGAGAGGGUGACCGGCCACACUGGGACUGAGACACGGCCCAGACUCCUACGGGAGGCAGCAGUGGGGAAUAUUGCACAAUGGGCGCAAGCCUGAUGCAGCAACGCCGCGUGAGGGACGACGGCCUUCGGGUUGUAAACCUCUUUUAGCAGGGAAGAAGCGAAAGUGACGGUACCUGCAGAAAAAGCACCGGCUAACUACGUGCCAGCAGCCGCGGUAAUACGUAGGGUGCAAGCGUUGUCCGGAAUUAUUGGGCGUAAAGAGCUCGUAGGCGGUUUGUCGCGUCUGCUGUGAAAAUCCGAGGCUCAACCUCGGACCUGCAGUGGGUACGGGCAAACUAGAGUGCGGUAGGGGAGAUUGGAAUUCCUGGUGUAGCGGUGGAAUGCGCAGAUAUCAGGAGGAACACCAAUGGCGAAGGCAGAUCUCUGGGCCGUAACUGACGCUGAGGAGCGAAAGCGUGGGGAGCGAACAGGAUUAGAUACCCUGGUAGUCCACGCCGUAAACGGUGGGAACUAGAUGUGGGGUCCGUUCC
rnacentral:rRNA from 1 species